rnacentral:rRNA from 1 species
CAGCCGUAAACUAUGCGCGUUAGGUGUAUCGGUGACCACGAGUUACCGAGGUGCCGAAGGGAAACCGUGAAACGUGCCGCCUGGGAAGUACGGUCGGCAAGGGCUGAAACUUAAAGGAAUUAGGCGGGGGGAGCACCGACAACAGGUGGAGCCUGCGGUUUAAUUGGACUCAACGCCGGGAAGCUCACCGGAUAGGACAGCAGAAUGAUUGCCGGGCUGAAGACUCUGCAUGACUAGCUGAGAGGAGGUGCAUGGCGUAGACGUCU